rnacentral:rRNA from 1 species
AUUGAACGCUGGCGGCAUGCUUUACACAUGCAAGUCGAACGGUAACAGGAAGCUUGCUCCGCUGACGAGUGGCGAACGGGUGAGUAAUAUAUCGGAACGUGCCCUAGAGUGGGGGAUAACGUAGAGAAAGUUACGCUAAUACCGCAUACGAUCCAAGGAUGAAAGCAGGGGACCCUCGGGCCUUGUGCUCCUGGAGUGGUCUAUAUCUGAUUAGCUAGUUGGUGAGGUAAAGGCUCACCAAGGCGACGAUCAGUAGCUGGUCUGAGAGGCCGACCAGCCACACUGGAACUGAGACACGGUCCAGACUCCUACGGGAGGCAGCAGUGGGGAAUUUUGGACAAUGGGGGCAACCCUGAUCCAGCAAUGCCGCGUAAGUGAAGAAGGCCUUCGGGUUGUAAAGCUCUUUUGUCAGGGAAGAAAAGGGUACGGCUAAUAUCCGUGCCUCAUGACGGUACCUGAAGAAUAAGCACCGGCUAACUACGUGCCAGCCGCCGCGGUAA